UACAGAGGUCUCAAGCGUUGUUCGGAUUCAUUGGGCGUAAAGGGUGCGUAGGCGGCGCGGUAAGUCGGGGUGUGAAAUCUUGGAGCUUAACUCCGAAACUGCAUUCGAUACUGCCGUGCUUGAGGACUGGAGAGGAGACUGGGAAUUUACGGUGUAGCGGUGAAAUGCGUAGAUAUCGUAAGGAAGACCAGUGGCGAAGGCGGGUCUCGUGGACAGUUCCU
rnacentral:rRNA from 1 species